rnacentral:lncRNA from 1 species
GUAAUUCCUCAAAAGGAAGAAACAAAGAGGCAUUAAGGUACCAGUCCAUCUUAUUGUAGCCGGAAUAAUUAAGGAAAAGAUGGGUGACUCGUCCAGUUAUUGGGUUGCAUUCAACCCUUUCCCACUCACAACAAUUUGAUGAACUCUCUUUUUUUGGAUUUAACUCAAAGUUAUUGGGUUGAAACUUAUAAUUAAUGAACUCAAAGAAAGGUUUGAGUUGGAAGAGAGCAGAUCUUUCCUCCUCUAAGCACCCAUCACACAGCCCAGCUCCUAAGGAUAACACUACAAGAACCAAGGCCAACCAUUUCAACUCCAUCUCACCACUUUAUGCAUUUGUAGCCAAUGCACAACCCCUUUAUAUGCUAAAAGAAAAAGAAAGAAAGCUUCAUGUUUCCAAGAAAUUCAUUCACAAUCGCUCAAAUUGUUUACUUUGUUUUUCAACUUUAUCAUUGAUAUUUUCAUGGAACCCUCUUAUUUCUCUCUUUUUUCCACAUUAAAGAUACAUAUGUUAAUGCAUAUGGCUAAUAAGGAGUCAAUCCCGUGUGGACCACUAUCUUUUCUUUACUUUCUUUUCAUAUACAGAACAGACUCCUUCAAAUUCAUGUGCCAUUGUUUCUUGUCUUUGAUCAUCCUAAAUGCAUCCACAGUUGUUUCUUCAAUUUCCAAUUGUUGCUGCUUUGCUGAUUUAUUGUGAUAAAAUAAGUUUUAUUAUCAGGAGAAAACCAUUAAAAAAAUUAAUGUAUUAUUAAAAAAAAUUAAAUAAGACCAAAUAGGAAUAUAGUUAACUUUCAUUGUUUAAUGCAAACAUAAUUUUUACUUUUUUUUUCAUUUAGAAUUCAACACCAAACAACCUUUGUUGAAACAAUGAAUGAUAUUUUUAAAUAGUAAAGGUUAACUUUGUUUAAAUUUGGCUUUAUAUAAUUUUUUUAAAAGUAUAGAGACUAAAUUGAUCCAUUUAAUAAUAGAUGAAUUAAUUUGAUCUGAUCACUAUCACAGAGGGACCUACCAAGUACAUUCACUCUUUUCUAUAGAUAUGGUUUGGUUACACUAGAUGUCCCAAAACUAUGAUCCAUGUUUUAAAUUAGACUUCAAAUUUCAAGAUACUUUAAUUAAGUCAAUAGAUUAUCAAAAUUUCCAUCAAUCUGGGCAUCAUAAUGGGCAUUAAAUACUAACUUAAAUAUUAUAUGGAUCAUAUUUAAAAUAUAUGAAUCGAAUUUUAAUGACAACUUUGAUGUAACAUAUUAAAAAGAAAAAAGAAGUCUCUUAAAUUUUAAAGACACUAUUUUAUAUGAAAGACCUUGUUCAUACAAUAUUCAACAUAAUUCUUAAAUAUAUACACAAUGAAAUAUACUAAUAUUCAACAUUCAAAUUGCAUAUAUAUGAAAUGUUAGAUGCUAUUACUGAUGGUUUUCUAUGAAGUUUUGUUUGAAGGUGGAAAUUUAAUUACAAAAUAAUGAGAAUUUAAUAACAUAUUGGUGUAUUACAAAAUUAAACAUAUUUGACUUCUUUAGGAAAAUAUGUUAACUUCAAUAAAAAUUAAAUAUUUAAAAUUUAUAUUUAAUUUAGUUAUAUAUUAAUCUGAUGAAAUCAUGAAAUUAUUUUAUAUAAAAGUAAUUAGUUGCUAUUAUUGAAAAAAUUAUGAUGUAAAAAAUAAAUAAAAUUAAAAAAAUGAUUAGGCCCCUCAUGCUUCCAAGAAACCCAUUCCACAAAGGGUCCAUUCAUCCCUUAAAUGGUUUAUUUUUUUCCCCAACUUUAUUACUUUUAAUUUGGAUGGGAGACAAUAUCAAUUAACCCACCGCUUACGUCCGGAUUUAAUAAAACAAUUUUUAUUUUACUAUAUUUCAAUUAUGGACCCCCCCCCCCCCCUAUUCAUGAUGAUUUGUUUAAAUUACAGACUCUUUCCACUCGUCCCUUAAAUGGUUUACUUAUUUGAUAUUUUCCAUGGAAGCCUCUUAUUUUCCACGCUAAAGAUAUAUAUGUUAAUGUGUAUAUAAAUGGCUUAGAAGGUGCACAGUGACUCAAUCCCGUGUGGACCCUAAUUCAAACCAUUUUUCUUGUUGCUUUGCGGAUAUUUUAAACGGUAAAUGGUAUUUUUGUUCAAAUUUCACCUUAAUUUAUAUUGUAAUUGUAUAGAGUUUAAAUUGAUUCAUUUAAUAAUAGAGGGACUAAUUUGAUCGGGUCAUUAUAACAAAGAGACUUGCUAGGUACAUUCACCCUGCACUAUAUAUAUGGUUUAAUUAUUCUAAACAUUCCAAAACUAUGAUUCAUGUCUUAAAUUAGACUUAAAAUUUCAAGCUAUUUUAAUUUAGUCAUUAGAAUAUCAAUAUCAUAUCAACCAGUCAUUCCAUGAGUCAGGUUUGAAUAUUAUGUGGAUCAAAUUUUAAAUGCAUAUGUACUUAUCGUAUUAACAACUUAAAUCUGACAUAUUAAAAAAAUGAAAUAGUUCUUUUAAUUUUAAAUGUAUAUUUCUUAUCCAAGUUUUCAAUACAAUAUCCAGCAUAAUUCUUAAAUAUAUAAAUAAAAACUUUGAACCUCAUGUGAUGGCGUGAUGGUUAGGGGUGUUCACUGCCUCAAGUGUGGCCUGAGUUUGAGUUGCGCUAGUCGUAUUGAUUGUUCGGACUUUGCCAUCUUAUUGUAAUUCACCAGAAAGAAAAUCAUGUUUAACUUCAAAAUAUUUUAAAUUUAUAUUUAACUUAGUUAUAUAUUGAUGAUGAGAUGAAUUUAUUAAAUUAUUUUAUGUAAAAUUAAUUAGUUACAAUUAUUAAAAAGAUUAUAAUUGAAAAAUUGAUUAAAAUAUAAAUUUUAAAAAUUUAUUAAGCCCCUUGUGCUUCCAAGAAACUCAUUCCACAAAGGGUCCAUAUAACUUUUUUUUCCCCAACUUUAUUAUUGAUAAAUUCCAGGAAAAGUAUCUUUUUCCAGUCUUCUAUUAAUUUGGAUGUGAUAGAAUACUAACAUUUACAUGACUCGUUAUCACCCACCGCUUAUGCCGGGGUUUAAUGAAACAAUUUUUUAUUUAAUAUUAAAUUUUGUUUAAAAUUUAUUAAAUAACAAUUAAUUUAUUAAAACUCAUUAGAUAUUAAUUAAUUAUUUAAACUCUUAUUUUGAAUUUUUUUAUCAAAUAUGUUAUAUUUUUGUUAAUUAUAAAAUUUGAAUUUAUGAAAAUAUUUUUUAUUAAAAAUAUAUGAGAACCUUAAAUUUAUUCACAAGUUAUUUUAUGGAUACUUCAUUUUAAAUUAAUCUUAAAAGUGAAUAUUCAAAUCAACCCUUGUGUCGGUAAAUAAUGUUGAGUAUGAGUCAGAUGAUUUAUUGACAUAUGAAAUCAAAUUAAAUAAUAAAAAAUUAAUUUAAUUAUAAAAAAUAUUAAUAUUAUAUAAAAAUAAUAUGUGAGGGAUAAAAUCAGAUUAUGAAAUUAGGUGAAGCUGGCCCAACUUCACGAUUAGACAUGCAAACUUUGUGCUUUCUACGCUACAAGAAAUAGGAAAAACCCCUCAUGCUUAAAUGGUUUACUUUUUGUGCUUUAUAUACUACUAGUUCAAUAAAAUGGGAACAAACGUUGAAGAAUGAAAAAAAAUGGGCUCAUGCUGCUUGAAUGGCAGAAUAGAAAUGGGAGCAACAAAUGUUUGGGUUUUAUUUAUUAAGGAUUUGGACUUUGAGUUUGAUCAUGCUUGGGUUUGACUAAACAACUAUAUGACUAUAUGACUAAACAACUCAAGCCUUCUCCGAAAUAUCCCUCAUGUUUCACUCCGUCUAUGGAUUUGAAUAAGUUGAAGCGAUCUAAUGAUCGAAGAAAAAUGCAAUAGCAAAAUCAUGACGUUAUAAGUUCAGAAACUUAUGUUUGGAGAAUCUAGAGAAAUUAAAUUUAAACGACUUGUAUGACAAACAUUAGUUCCCUCUUUAAUUGUUGGAACUAUCUUCCCUGUAAUGAGUUUUGUUAAUUUGUCUUUCGCUGCUUUCUCUUGAAUGCAGGCUAACUCUUUUGGAUUUUCACUUUCCUCGUAUCAUUAACUGAUUCGGGUUAGGGAUUUUCUAAAACAUUCUCUGCCUUCAGGUCAAACAGAAACUUAGUCCUGCAGCAUAUAAAGAUUUUGUGGGUUAUACGAAGGAAAUAGUCCAAAGUGGUAAAAGAUUGGUAAUCCUCUGCAAUGCAUUGUGGAGUUAUUUUCAGGACCUGAGAGGCUUUCUCUUCUUGAAAGGUAUGCAUCUACUUCAAAAUAGCAAUAAAUUUGAAGACUGAGAGCAAUUACGUUACAUUGUGCGGUUUUAGUAGGCUUAACCUUGUAUACAUUGAGCAGACACUUUCUGAUGCUCAUCCAGUUAAUGCCAUAUUGUGCGGUUUUAGGUUUCACUGGAAAUGUGGCAAAAUUAAUUUCAUAUUCUCAGCAUGAGUUAAUGAUUUAUAAAGCUAAGCCUAACAUUGUCUGAAAUCAUCAAAUAUGUUAGAGCCUUAAAGGCUGCAAGUCCCAUCAGAGGUCUUAUCUGCAACACUAGCAAAGAAACAAAUUGCCUCUAUUCUUUAGCGUGUCAUUCAUUUCCAUGCCCCUUUUUAGCUUGCAACUAUUAUCGAUUAUUUUUAUUGGAUCUUACCCUCUGUUGUCAUCUGUUACAGAUUCAAGGAUUACGUGCCCGCGAUAUAUCGUUCUUUGUAUGAGCAGUACCUCGAAACAAGUACAAGAAAUGCUUGAAAAUCAGAGGAACUAAACUUAUCUGGUCAAAACAGUAAUUAGACGCUCCUUUUGCCAAUGUGAUCGGUUAGAAGUGAAAGAUUGAGACUUUGGCAGCAUUGUACUUUCUAGAUCAACAAUCUUUGAAGAAAUAUACAAACAUUAUGGAAGGUUUGUAUGCAGUAUAUUGCAACUUUGCACAGCGUUUGGAAGCUUUUGGAUGUGUAACCAAGCAGCCAAGUUGCUCAUUUGUUUGUGGAGGAAAGAGACUUAUUCAACAUGAAGGUGGUGUUACACAUAGCAAACAAUAUUUCCAUAAUUAUUUGUUGCUACUACUGAAAUUAUGAAGGACUAGACCUGGUGACAGCUAACAUUUUGUACAAAUUGAAAUCAAACCAACUGAAAUAGCAGUGAAACUAAGAAUAUGGCUUGUGGGAGUUUUUAUUCAGUUCCAUAAGAGCACUUUAAAUCGACGUCUUAACACAGUCGCUACAUAUAAACAUGGCAUUGCAAUCGACAAAUUUCACAACAAAAUUUUCUACAUGUUUCCAGUAUAAAAAUUUCUGGGGAAAUUAUCUAUCAUAAAAUAGUAGCAGGAAUCAACGGCCAUUUGUAUAUAGUAAAACCAUGCUUGCCUCCAAUAAGGAUUUAUGUACAGCACAGCUGCGAUACACAAUAGCACCAUCACGUAACAUGCGAAGAAGCUUGCAUAGAAGGCAUCCAUAUCAAUGAAACCAUGGUCUUCUUUGUUGCCAGCCGAAGCCUUGGGUGUCAAUGGUGUUUCCACGGGCGAACAAUUCUUCCCCACCAAUGAGCCACAAAGAAAAGGAUUCCCGACGUAGUUGCUUUCAUCAAAUGCUCCCAACUAUCCAAUCCUUUCAGGUGUCUUUCCAGAUAAAUUGUUGUAUGACACAUUGAAGUAUUCCAGGAAAUGUAAUACAGCAAAUUCGGCGGGGAUAUUCCCUGUCAAAUUGUUGUAGGAAAGAUCUAGGCUUUCCAUGUCCAUGAGGUUAGAAAAUGCUCGUGGCACAGGUCCGGUCAAGCUAUUGUGAGAAAGGUUCAAUGUGAAGAGUUUCAUAAUGUUUUUUGUUUCAAAACUAAUUUCACCCGUAAGCUUGUUGCAGGAGAGAUCAAUUCCAGACAUGUAUUGAAGCAUUCUUCUCUUGUAAUUGUAGGAUCUGCUCUUUACUGUGUAUUCUAUUGGAACUUCAAUGGACAUCGAGCUAUUCAUACCGGAAUAAAUACUAUACUGCGGAAUAUAUUGCUCAGUCAGAUAGUUCAGCGCAAAAACUUUUAAACAAGAAGGAAUAGCACCAGAGAGAUUGUUUUGAGAAAGAUCAAUCAAGCUUAAACGAUCCAACUUGCAUAAUUGAAUUGAAAUUUCACCCUCAAAGUGGUUUCUCCUUAAGAGAAGAUAACUUAAUUCAGAAAGAUUGCUAACCCAAUUUGGAAUGUUACCCUUCAAGUGGUUGUAGCUGAGAUCCAAUGUCACCAACGAAGAGCUAUCAUGAAAAGCAUUUGGUAACACUCCUUGUAGCUUAUUUUUAAAUAAAUGAACUUCCCUCACCGAUACCGGUUUGAAGCAAGAUGGUAGAGUCCCAGAUAAAUGGUUCAUGGAAAGGUCCAAAAAUUGAAGUUUGAGAUUGAGACUACAAAUUGCCCUUGGUAUUGAACCUUCAAGUUGAUUAUCUGCCAUGGCAACUUGUUCCAAAUUCGAAGCAUUUCCCCUCCAUUGUGGCAACCUACCAAAGAGUUGGUUUCUGCUCACAUCCAAUGCUGCUAGCUCUGACAUAUUCCAAAUCCAACUUGGGACAUCACCAUAGAUAUAGUUAUUGCUAAGAUCUAGUAUAUACAAGUGAGAGCAAUUAGCUAAGACAUUUGGGAUCAUCCCAGUGAAGUUAUUUCCACUUAAUUCGAGCUCUAACAAGCUCGUUAGAUUAAAAUUUCCAGAGAAAAUUGAUCCUUGUAAUUUGUUAUUUGAUAAUGCAAGGAAUUGUAAUGAAGAACAGCCCAUAGCCAUGUGCUGAGGUAUCUCUCCAGAUAAUUGGUUGUUUGAUAAGUCCAAAACUUGUAGGGAACUCAUAUCACCAAAUGAAGAGGGAAUGCUGCCAUUGAAAUAAUUCCUUGACAUGUUCAAAUAACCCAAAAAUGGGAGGUGUGCACCCAUUCUUACUGGGAUGUUGCCACCGAAGGCAUUGUUGGAUAUAUCCAAAUGUGAUAAAGUAGAAUGCACACGCGAUGGCACUUGAAAAGGCCCUGAUAGAGAGCAAUUCACGAGAUUCAGGGUCACUAGCAUCGUGUUAUUUUCCAACAACCAAAAUGGAAAUCGAUCCACCUUGAAAUAUAUGUCUGAGAGAGAAACCUUCUGCAAUUCACUUUGAUGGUACAAGAAUUUUGGAAAUGACCCAACACUUCCACAACAAGAUAAGUUGACGGAACUUAAUUGGAACCUUGGAGCCAAAGAAUGCGACAUCUCAUGAUCAUCAGCAUGUAUGGUGUUGUUAUCUGCAUAGAGGUACUUGAGUUUUGAAAGGUUGCACAAGGGUCUUAAUGAGCUUGGGAUGUGAAAUUUAUUGUUUGAAACAUCCAACGAUUUGAGGGAUGUUAGACUUUCAAGGGCAGAUAUAUUUCCAGAGAACUGAUUAGAAGAGAGGUCCAAAGAUUCAAGCAAUGUUAGGCUCUGAAGGGCAGGUAUAUUUCCAGAAAACUGAUUAAAAGAGAGGUCCAAAGAUGCAAGCAAUGUUAGGCUCUGAAGGGCAGAUAUAUUUCCAGAGAAUAGAUUAAAAGAGAAGUCCAAAGAUUCAAGAAAUGUUAGGCUCUUAAGGAUAGAUAUAUUUCCAGAAAACUGAUUGGAAGAGAGAGAUAACUUUUUAAGGGAGGUGAGGUUGGAGAAACACAUGGGUAAGCUACCCCUUAGAUUAUAGUGAUUGAUAUCCAACUCUUGGAGAUUUGUCAAUUCACAGACAUCUGCAAAAGUAGUAGUAUUAUAUGUAUAUAUUUAAGGAGUUUACAAAUAGGUGGAAACCAAAAUAAUAAAUAAACUAUGUUCAAUUAAUUAGAAUAAUAAUCAAUUCAAUAUAAAAUAUUCAAGAGUGAAAAUUAGAAUAUAUUUAAAUCUAACUCAAAAUAAAUUUAAAUAAAACUCAUACAUAAUGGCUUUAAACUUACAAUUAUUUGAGAGAGAAUCUACACCUGAUGGGAUUCGAAUCUAGGCAUUCAAGAUGUUAAGCCCUAAUUCUUUGCCUUUAGAGCAUUUAACUUUUUUCUCUGAUCCAUGUGGUUUGUAAAAUUUAAAAUUUUAGCCUUUCUACUUGUGCAAUUUGAAAUUUAAAGACUAAUUGGUAUAUUGUUAUUAAAUUUGAAUAUAUGCAUUUUAAUAUUCAAAGGUUUGAUUCAAAAAAAUAGAAGUAGUUAAUUUUUUUAUUUAUAUAUAAAAUCAAAACUAUAAAGUGGAUUUGAAUAUCCUUCCUUUAUGGCUUUAUGGGAAUAAGCAAAGCAAAUUCACAUGUAUAUAUCCAUAUUCAUUUAGAAUCCGAAUAUUAUCUGAAUUUAUAACAUUCGAAUAUAAAAAAAAGCAUAUCAAAUUUAUAGAUAUUUGAAUCUAUAAUCCGAAUUACCACAUCUAAGAGAAAUUAUAUUUCAAAAUUAAAAAAGUAACACAUUUAUAUAUACUAAAUCUAGAGAUAUAUAAAACUAAAAUGACGAGUAACUGAAAAUAGAAUAUUUACCAUGUAUAGGUGGAGUGUUGUUACCAUCAAUACCAUAGGCGGUCAAUUUUUUAAGAGAAAUGAGUGGUCUAAAAACUUGAAUAAAGUUUGAAGGUAAAGAUGAUUCAUAUAACUCCAACUCUUCCAAACUUCUCAAAUUUAGGCCUUCUAUUCAAUAACAUUAAUUGCAAGUUAUAUUUUUAAAAAAAAUAUAUGGAAAACAAAGUAUAUUUAUAAAACUACGAAGAAGAUAAAGAUUUGAAAUUAUGAGUUUCAUUCUUUUAUUUUACAUAAAUUGAGAUGUUAGUUUUAUCUAUUUUAAUUUGUCAAAAUUUGGUUCAUGUACUUUGUGUAAAUUAAGAAGCUACUCUAGUUAUUGGUAAUAAUAUAUAUUCUCAUCUUAACAUCCUUUUAUAAUUUUUUUUAAAAAAAUAUUAUAACGUUCAAAAAACAAUUUCCUAAAAAAAAAACCAUAAAAAAUUAAAACCGCACCUUAGCCCUUUCAUAAAUUAAAACUACUAAAUUAAUUAAUCAAGAUUUUUUUUAAAUCUAGAAAAUGGAUUUAAAACAAAAAUUUGACCUUACAAGUAUAUAUUAUCCAAUAUAUAUUGUUAAGGGCAAUUUUAAAUAAAAAAUGACUUACAAUCAAAUAAAUAUUAUCAUAAGAGAGAAAUUGAAAGAAUGAAAUUACCUUCUCGAGUGAGAUUUUUAUUGAUCUUACAAUCCCACAAUUCUAAACGCUUCAAUGAAGUAAAGUCUGCUGUAACAGAGGCUUUCAAUAAUAAGUAUGUGUGAGAGACAUAAUGGCAAAGAUAUAUAUUAGAGAAAUAUCCCAACAAAAUGUACACCAUCAAAUUAUAUCUUGUACUAUUUACACAUUUAAAAAUUAGUCUCUCUACUAUUAAUCUCGGAAAUUUAAUCUCUCUAUUCAUUUGAUUUAAUAAUUGAAAUUCAACUGAUAACAUCAUCUUUUCGUUAAAUUGGAUUACAUGGCUUUUUUAAAGAUAAAAUAUUUACUCACGUGGCUAACUACAUUUUGCAGAUUAUAACAUUAUUUGCAAAUACUUAAAAUGUGUAAUAAUUUGAUCGAACAAAAAAAAAUUUACAUGAGUGGAAGGCCAAGCAAACAAAAAUGUUGAAUCUAGUAUUGUAAGAUUUUCGAUUUUGAAUCUAAAAUUUUAAGGUUCUUAGCUUUGUUUCAAAGAAAGGAGAGUGAAUGCUGGUAUUUUUAUUUUUCUGACAUAAUGUGCCCUUAAAUUGGCAAUAUGAGCAAAAUUUUCUGCUUUAAAAAUAUCACACAAUCCAAAUGAAUACAAUUAAAAAUGGAUUAAUUAAAUUUAAAAAAAGCGAUGAGUAUAAGGACUGUAUGCAUAAUUAGACCUAGAUGUAUAAAUUAAUUCAUAAUAUUUAAUUUGUAAGAAAACAUCAAAACUUACUAUUGUGGGAAUAAGAAGCCAUUCUAGUUUCAUUAAUAUUAAAUCCUCUUAAAGAAAGAGUCUUUAAAGUGGGGAAUAAGCCCAGCGACUGUAAUGAGAAGCUACAACCUGCAUCUGCAUCUAUAGCUGCAUGUAAAACAAUGCUUUAUUUCUUUAGAAUAUGUGUAAUUAACAAGUCAGGGCAAAUAAUUAAACAUUUUUUUCAAAUGUCUAAUUACCUGGAUUGCAGGCCAUAUACAGCUCCUCCAAAUUACUCAGGCGAUUUAAAUCUGAGGAGAAUCAGAAAUUGAAAAAUAGUUUAGUUCAAAUAAAGCUUAUGAAUGUGUAUUACUCAUUCAAUAUUUCUUUUUUCUUCUUAAGAAAAGAAAAACAGAGGAUGGGGAGAAGGUUGAUUUUUACCUUUCAUAUCUAUUAAUCCAUUACCACUCAAAUUCUUUAGAUUUGAAAGUGUAGCAAGAGAUGACAAUAUACUAUUGUUGAAAUCAUUACCACUCAAAUCAACAACUUUCAAAUUCAUCAGCCUUAGCCCUGCACCAUUAUCAAGUAACAACAUUUUUAGUUAUUUAAUUUCACAAAAUAUAUUUUUUUUAAAAAAUUGAUACGUGUCUCUUUUGUUUAACAUUUUAUUAUAUCUAUAGACAAUUAUCAACCUAAUGAUUUUACUUAUGGAAUCCAAAAUCUCCACCAAUAUACCAAAUAUUUUCCCUAAAUUUAUAAUAAAUUUAACAAUAAAAAAAUUAAAAAAAUAAAUUUAAUGUUAAAUUAAAAAAAAUCAUAAAUACCUUGAGAUGGAAUAAAUCCAUUCACUUCAUUAUCGGAUAAGAUCAACUCCUCUAAAUUGCUGAGAGCAUUUAAAUCUAAAGAUAACAUUACGAAGGAAACUAAAAAUAAGUUUAUUUUCUUUAGCAUGUGAAAACCAAUAGUAUAUUAAUUGAAAUAUUUAAAGCAUUCAUAAUGGGAACUAUUCGUUAAGCCUACAACAUUAUUUGAGUUAGAUUUUGAACAAAGUUAUUUUCAAUUCCCACUUAGUCUCUUUUAUUAUGUUAAUAAUAUAUAUAUUUCAAAACAAUAACUAUUCUUUUGUAAAUAUGAAAACGAGCUUUUCGAUUAAGUUUUGGCCUAACUUGAAUGGGUUUAUUCAGUUCAACUUAUGAAAUUUCUAUUGUCGAUAGUAAAUAUUAGGUUAAGUGUUCAAGUAGAGAUGAAACUUUUUAUGAGUUGCACAUAAACAAAAACUUUAAAAAUAGUUAAGUAAAAGUUAAGUCUGCCUCAUACAAUAGAGAAACCUUACACAAUGACCAAAUAAGAGUUGAACCUUUUCAAUUGUGCUCAAAUAAUAUCUUAUUAAAUCGUCUGUGUUUUAUUCUAAACAUACCAACAUUCAUCUAAUUUUUACUUUAAAAAAGGCAUGACUUUUUUUUUUACCAUUUUGGAAGGUAAUUAGGUGCUUGCAAAUAAUUAUUAACAAUUUAUUUAAUAUAUGUCUAAUUAAUUGGAAAAUGGAUGAAAAGCAUUUAAUUGUGAAAGGAAAAUUACAAGUAAAACUAAUAACAAAUCAUAUAAAAUCAAAGGAUACUAUAUUCUUACCUUUUGUAUAUAUUGCCCCCUUCAGUUUGUUAUAUGAUAAAUCCAAUGACUUCAAAUUCGAGAGCUCAACAAGGGAUGAGAAUAUGCUAUUGUUAAAGAGAUUAUACCUUAAAUUAAGUACCUCAAGUUUGUUCAACUUCAUUCCUUCUUUUCCUGAAAGGAUAAAAAAUUUAACGUAAUUUCAUCUUUAAAAAGAUGAUAUGUUGGAACAACAAUUAAUUAGCCAACUGAUUUACCAUGGAAUAUUGACCCAAGGCUCUUAAUUUCAUUUCCCUCUAAAGACAGCUCCUUCAAGUUCAUCCAAUUAUUAUUGCUUUCUGUUCAUAUCCAAUGAAAAUAUAUGUUAGUUAAUCAUGUUAUUUAAAAAGGGAUAAUAUAACAUUUAGUCCCUGAAUUUUGUAAUUUUCUCCAACUUGGUCCUUGAACUGUUUUUUGUCCACAUUAGUCUUGGAAUUUAACAUCUUUCCAUAGCUUUGGUCCAUGAGAUGAUGUGGCACUAUGAGAUUUUGUCAUGUCAUUACCUAAAUUCUUGAAAAAUUGCUAAAUUUUAGGACUAAUGUGGACCAAAAAAGUUUAUGGACUAAGUUAGAAAAAAUUACUAAAUUCAAGGACUAAAUGUUGCUUUACCCUUAUAAAAACAACUAACUAGUAAGCUUUCUAUUUUUUUAAUCAAAUUAAGCAUGAUAUUCAAAAAGGAAACAUGCCUUGUAUAUCAAGGGUUCCUUUUAGUCCGCAAUACUCCAAACGCAAUGAUUUUAAAGAGGCAAAACUGUCUAGUUGUGAUAGGAUGUUAUUUCCUAAACUAUUGUCAGAUAAAUCCAAAGUUUCUAAAUUUUUCAGCUUUGAUAACAUCUCAAUAGCUGUCAACAAUAAUAUUAAAAAAAGGGUCAAAACUACUUUAAACUUGGAUAAGCUUUGCAUCAUAUACAAUUUAAUACUUUUACCAUUGGUAGGAUUUAAUCCUGUGAAUAUAAAGUAAGCUAGAUUUAAAGACUUGAGUGAUGAAAGUUCACUUAAGGAUGCUAAAAUGCUAUGGUUGAAAUGAUUUUCACUCAAGUCAAGAUUCUCCAACUUGUCCAAUUUCAAUGACAACCUUUCAAAACCUACAAGGAACAAGGAAAUAUAGUAAAUUAAGAUCAAAGAAAAUGUGGGCAGACAAGGGUCUUGGGUCCAAAAGAUAUGGUAAAAUUUUAAUUUAAUCCUUACCGAAAUUAUAAAUUGAUGCAAUAAUAAAAUGUCAUUUCAACAACGAACAAGUAGUUGAAAUGAUUUUUUUAACAUUCAAAAUAAGAAAAAUAAAUAAAUGCUCAUGAUAAAGUUGAAAGGUAAUAAACCUUGAUUGACAACACAACCAGCUAUAGAAUUCCCACUUAAAUAAAUGUUUUGUAUUUCCUCAAAAGGAAGAAACAAAGAGGCAUUAAGAUACCAAUGUAUCUUCUUGUAGCUGGAAUGGUUAAGGAAAAGAUGGGUGACUCGUCCACUUAUUGGGUUGCAUUCAACCCUUUCCCACUCACAACAAUUUGAUGAACUCUCUUUAAUUUCAUCCACCAAGUAAUCAUAAUAGAUUAGAUCUAAUUCAAACUUAUAAUCAAUGAACUCAAAGAAAGGCUUGAGUUGGAAGAGAGCAAAUCUUUCUUCCUCUAAGCAACCAUCACACAGCCCAGAACCUAACGAUAACACUACAAGAACCAUGGCUAACCAUUUUGACU